AGUGAACGCUGGCGGUAGGCCUAACACAUGCAAGUCGAGCGGCAGCACAGUAAGAGCUUGCUCUUACGGGUGGCGAGUGGCGGACGGGUGAGGAAUACAUCGGAAUCUACUUUUUCGUGGGGGAUAACGUAGGGAAACUUACGCUAAUACCGCAUACGACCUACGGGUGAAAGCAGGGGAUCUUCGGACCUUGCGCGAUUGAAUGAGCCGAUGUCGGAUUAGCUAGUUGGCGGGGUAAAGGCCCACCAAGGCGACGAUCCGUAGCUGGUCUGAGAGGAUGAUCAGCCACACUGGAACUGAGACACGGUCCAGACUCCUACGGGAGGCAGCAGUGGGGAAUAUUGGACAAAGGGCGCAAGCCUGGUCCAGCCAUACCGCGUGGGUGAAGAAGGCCUUCGGGUUGUAAAGCCCUUUUGUUGGGAAAGAAAAGCAGCAGGUUAAUACCCCGCUGUUCUGACGGUACCCAAAGAAUAAGCACCGGCUAACUUCGUG
rnacentral:rRNA from 1 species